rnacentral:rRNA from 1 species
AUUGAACGCUGGCGGCAGGCCUAACACAUGCAAGUCGGGCGGUAACAUAGGGAGCUUGCUCCUGGGUGACGAGCGGCGGACGGGUGAGUAAUGUCUGGGAAACUGCCUGAUGGAGGGGGAUAACUACUGGAAACGGUAGCUAAUACCGCAUAACGUCGCAAGACCAAAGAGGGGGACCUUCGGGCCUCUUGCCAUCAGAUGUGCCCAGUUGGGAUUAGCUAGUAGGUGGGGUAACGGCUCACCUAGGCGACGAUCCCUAGCUGGUCUGAGAGGAUGACCAGCCACACUGGAACUGAGACACGGUCCAGACUCCUACGGGAGGCAGCAGUGGGGAAUAUUGCACAAUGGGCGCAAGCCUGAUGCAGCCAUGCCGCGUGUAUGAAGAAGGCCUUCGGGUUGUAAAGUACUUUCAGCGGGGAGGAAGGUGUUGUGGUUAAUAACCACAGCAAUUGACGUUACCCGCAGAAGAAGCACCGGCUAACUCCGUGCCAGCCGCCGCGGUAACAC